rnacentral:rRNA from 1 species
CGAGAAAGCCCGCAAGGGUGAGUAAAGCGGCGCACGGGUGAGUAACACGUGGGUAAUCUGCCCUGGAGUCCGGAAUAACUCGCCGAAAGGCGUGCUAAUGCCGGAUAAGACCACGGGGACCUCGGUCCCUGCGGGAAAAGGUGGCCUCUGCAUGCAAGCUAUCACUUCAGGAUGAGCCCGCGGCCCAUCAGCUCGUUGGCGGGGUAACGGCCCACCAAGGCUACGACGGGUAGCUGGUCUGAGAGGACGAUCAGCCACACUGGAACUGAGACACGGUCCAGACUCCUACGGGAGGCAGCAGUGGGGAAUCUUGCGCAAUGGGCGAAAGCCUGACGCAGCAACGCCGCGUGUGUGAUGAAGGUCUUCGGAUCGUAAAGCACUGUCGCGAGGGACG